rnacentral:tRNA from 1 species
UCCCUGGUGGUCCAGUGAUCAGGACACUGUGCUCCCAAUGCAGCAGUCGUGGGUUCAAUGCCUGUUCAGGAAA